CUGAGACAGGUGCUGCAUGGCUGUCGUCAGCUCGUGUUGUGAAAUGUUGGUUAAGUCCGCAACGAGCGCAACCCUUAUCCUUUGUUGCCAGCGAGUAAUGUCGGGAACUCAAAGGAGACUGCCGGUGAUAAACCGGAGGAAGGUGGGGAUGACGUCAAGUCAUCAUGGCCCUUACGAGUAGGGCUACACACGUGCUACAAUGGCAUAUACAAAGAGAAGCGAACUCGCGAGAGCAAGCGGACCUCAUAAAGUAUGUCGUAGUCCGGAUUGGAGUCUGCAACCCGACUCCAUGAAGUCGGAAUCGCUAGUAAUCGUAGAUCAGAAUGCUACGGUGAAUACGUUCCCGGGCCUU
rnacentral:rRNA from 1 species